rnacentral:rRNA from 1 species
CGGCGAGUGAGCGGCAAAGCUCAAAUUUGAAAUCUGGUACCUUUGGUGCCCGAGUUGUAAUUUGGAGAGUACCACUUUGGGACUGUACUUUGCCUAUGUUCCUUGGAACAGGACGUCAUGGAGGGUGAGAAUCCCGUGUGGCGAGGGUGUCAGUUCUUUGUAAAGGGUGCUCGAAGAGUCGAGUUGUUUGGGAAUGCAGCUCUAAGUGGGUGGUAAAUUCCAUCUAAAGCUAAAUACAGGCGAGAGACCGAUAGCGAACAAGUACAGUGAUGGAAAGAUGAAAAGAACUUUGAAAAGAGAGUGAAAAAGUACGUGAAAUUGUUGAAAGGGAAGGGCAUUUGAUCAGACAUGGUGUUUUGCGCCCCUUGCCUCUCGUGGGCUUGGGACUCUCGCAGCUCACUGGGCCAGCAUCGGUUUUGGCGGCCGGAAAAAACCUAGGGAAUGUGGCUCUGCGCCUCGGUGUAGAGUGUUAUAGCCCUGGGGAAUACGGCCAGCCGGGACCGAGGACUGCGAUACUUGUUAUCUAGGAUGCUGGCAUAAUGGUUAUAUGCCGCCCGU